rnacentral:rRNA from 1 species
AUUGAACGCUGGCGGCAGGCCUAACACAUGCAAGUCGACCUUAGUGGCGCAUGGUUGAGUAACCCGUCGGUACCCUGCCCACCAGAAGGGGAUAACACUUGGAAACAGGUGCUAAAACCGUAUACUGAUGGAUGGACCCGCAGUGCAUUAGCUAGUUUGUGAGGUAACGGCUCACCAAGGCCACGAUGCAUAGUCAACCUGAGAGAGUGAUCGGCCACAUUGGAACUGAGACACGGCCCAAACUCCUACGGGAGGCAGCAGGAGGGAAUCUUCGGCAAUGGACGAAAGUCUGACCGAGCAACGCCGCGUAAGUGAAGAAGGUGUUCGGAGCGUAAAACGCUGUUGUGAGAGAAGCGGUAUCUAACCAGAAAGCCACGGCUAACUACGUACCAGCCGCCGCGGUAAUAC